rfam:Stegodyphus mimosarum contig79469, whole genome shotgun sequence.
GCCUUCGUGGUGUAGUGGUCUGCAAAAUCGACGCGUAACUGAGAGGUCCGUGGUUCGAUUCCCGGCGAAGGCG